rnacentral:rRNA from 1 species
GGGUUGUGAGGUUAAGCGACUAAGCGUACACGGUGGAUGCCCUGGCAGUCAGAGGCGAUGAAGGACGUGCUAAUCUGCGAUAAGCGUCGGUAAGGUGAUAUGAACCGUUAUAACCGGCGAUUUCCGAAUGGGGAAACCCAGUGUGUUUCGACACACUAUCAUUAACUGAAUCCAUAGGUUAAUGAGGCGAACCGGGGGAACUGAAACAUCUAAGUACCCCGAGGAAAAGAAAUCAACCGAGAUUCCCCCAGUAGCGGCGAGCGAACGGGGAGCAGCCCAGAGCCUGAAUCAGUGUGUGUGUUAGUGGAAGCGUCUGGAAAGGCGCGCGAUACAGGGUGACAGCCCCGUACACAAAAAUGCACAUGCUGUGAGCUCGAUGAGUAGGGCGGGACACGUGGUAUCCUGUCUGAAUAUGGGGGGACCAUCCUCCAAGGCUAAAUACUCCUGACUGACCGAUAGUGAACCAGUACCGUGAGGGAAAGGCGAAAAGAACCCCGGCGAGGGGAGUGAAAAAGAACCUGAAACCGUGUACGUACAAGCAGUGGGAGCACGCUUAGGCGUGUGACUGCGUACCUUUUGUAUAAUGGGUCAGCGACUUAUAUUCUGUAGCAAGGUUAACCGAAUAGGGGAGCCGAAGGGAAACCGAGUCUUAACUGGGCGUUAAGUUGCAGGGUAUAGACCCGAAACCCGGUGAUCUAGCCAUGGGCAGGUUGAAGGUUGGGUAACACUAACUGGAGGACCGAACCGACUAAUGUUGAAAAAUUAGCGGAUGACUUGUGGCUGGGGGUGAAAGGCCAAUCAAACCGGGAGAUAGCUGGUUCUCCCCGAAAGCUAUUUAGGUAGCGCCUCGUGAAUUCAUCUCCGGGGGUAGAGCACUGUUUCGGCAAGGGGGUCAUCCCGACUUACCAACCCGAUGCAAACUGCGAAUACCGGAGAAUGUUAUCACGGGAGACACACGGCGGGUGCUAACGUCCGUCGUGAAGAGGGAAACAACCCAGACCGCCAGCUAAGGUCCCAAAGUCAUGGUUAAGUGGGAAACGAUGUGGGAAGGCCCAGACAGCCAGGAUGUUGGCUUAGAAGCAGCCAUCAUUUAAAGAAAGCGUAAUAGCUCACUGGUCGAGUCGGCCUGCGCGGAAGAUGUAACGGGGCUAAACCAUGCACCGAAGCUGCGGCAGCGACGCUUAUGCGUUGUUGGGUAGGGGAGCGUUCUGUAAGCCUGUGAAGGUGUGCUGUGAGGCAUGCUGGAGGUAUCAGAAGUGCGAAUGCUGACAUAAGUAACGAUAAAGCGGGUGAAAAGCCCGCUCGCCGGAAGACCAAGGGUUCCUGUCCAACGUUAAUCGGGGCAGGGUGAGUCGACCCCUAAGGCGAGGCCGAAAGGCGUAGUCGAUGGGAAACAGGUUAAUAUUCCUGUACUUGGUGUUACUGCGAAGGGGGGACGGAGAAGGCUAUGUUGGCCGGGCGACGGUUGUCCCGGUUUAAGCGUGUAGGCUGGUUUUCCAGGCAAAUCCGGAAAAUCAAGGCUGAGGCGUGAUGACGAGGCACUACGGUGCUGAAGCAACAAAUGCCCUGCUUCCAGGAAAAGCCUCUAAGCAUCAGGUAACAUCAAAUCGUACCCCAAACCGACACAGGUGGUCAGGUAGAGAAUACCAAGGCGCUUGAGAGAACUCGGGUGAAGGAACUAGGCAAAAUGGUGCCGUAACUUCGGGAGAAGGCACGCUGAUAUGUAGGUGAAGUCCCUUGCGGAUGGAGCUGAAAUCAGUCGAAGAUACCAGCUGGCUGCAACUGUUUAUUAAAAACACAGCACUGUGCAAACACGAAAGUGGACGUAUACGGUGUGACGCCUGCCCGGUGCCGGAAGGUUAAUUGAUGGGGUCAGCGCAAGCGAAGCUCUUGAUCGAAGCCCCGGUAAACGGCGGCCGUAACUAUAACGGUCCUAAGGUAGCGAAAUUCCUUGUCGGGUAAGUUCCGACCUGCACGAAUGGCGUAAUGAUGGCCAGGCUGUCUCCACCCGAGACUCAGUGAAAUUGAACUCGCUGUGAAGAUGCAGUGUACCCGCGGCAAGACGGAAAGACCCCGUGAACCUUUACUAUAGCUUGACACUGAACAUUGAGCCUUGAUGUGUAGGAUAGGUGGGAGGCUUUGAAGUGUGGACGCCAGUCUGCAUGGAGCCGACCUUGAAAUACCACCCUUUAAUGUUUGAUGUUCUAACGUUGACCCGUAAUCCGGGUUGCGGACAGUGUCUGGUGGGUAGUUUGACUGGGGCGGUCUCCUCCUAAAGAGUAACGGAGGAGCACGAAGGUUGGCUAAUCCUGGUCGGACAUCAGGAGGUUAGUGCAAUGGCAUAAGCCAGCUUGACUGCGAGCGUGACGGCGCGAGCAGGUGCGAAAGCAGGUCAUAGUGAUCCGGUGGUUCUGAAUGGAAGGGCCAUCGCUCAACGGAUAAAAGGUACUCCGGGGAUAACAGGCUGAUACCGCCCAAGAGUUCAUAUCGACGGCGGUGUUUGGCACCUCGAUGUCGGCUCAUCACAUCCUGGGGCUGAAGUAGGUCCCAAGGGUAUGGCUGUUCGCCAUUUAAAGUGGUACGCGAGCUGGGUUUAGAACGUCGUGAGACAGUUCGGUCCCUAUCUGCCGUGGGCGCUGGAGAACUGAGGGGGGCUGCUCCUAGUACGAGAGGACCGGAGUGGACGCAUCACUGGUGUUCGGGUUGUCAUGCCAAUGGCACUGCCCGGUAGCUAAAUGCGGAAGAGAUAAGUGCUGAAAGCAUCUAAGCACGAAACUUGCCCCGAGAUGAGUUCUCCCUGAC